rnacentral:rRNA from 1 species
AUUGAACGCUGGCGGAAUGCUUUACACAUGCAAGUCGAACGGCAGCACGGGGGCAACCCUGGUGGCGAGUGGCGAACGGGUGAGUAAUACAUCGGAACGUGCCCGGUCGUGGGGGAUAACGUAGCGAAAGUUACGCUAAUACCGCAUACGAUCUGAGGAUGAAAGCGGGGGACCUUCGGUCCUCGCGCGAUCGGGGCGGGCGAUGUCAGAUUAGGUGGUGGGUGGGGGAAAGGCCUACCAAGCCGACGAUCUGUAGCUGGUCUGAGAGGACGACCAGCCACACUGGGACUGAGACACGGCCCAGACUCCUACGGGAGGCAGCAGUGGGGAAUUUUGGACAAUGGGCGCAAGCCUGAUCCAGCCGUGCCGCGUGCAGGACGAAGGCCUUCGGGUUGUAAACUGCUUUUGUAUGGAACGAAAAGGCUCUGGCUAAUACCUGGGGCUCAUGACGGUACCGUAAGAAUAAGCACCGGCUAACUACGUG